ACUGACGGGCAAUUUUCCAACACUGGGGACGUUAGAACAUUCUGUUUCCUGGGCCUGUCUGGCUUACACGCAGCAUUUCUGUGUCAAUAUUGCCUUCAACUCACGUGUUCCGUGGACCCUCCUUGAGCUUCUAACGGGCCCAGGGCACUGGCCCAGGCAUGGGGUGGAAUGUGCGUGGAUGCUGGUGGUUUCUGCCCUUGUGGGCGCCCUGUCUGCAGAGGGAGACCCUGCAGGGCAACAGCAGCCACAUCGGGGGCCCAGGGUGGCCUUCGCACACUGCUGUUUUGGUGGCUUGAAAGGAGAAGACCCUUCUGCAAAUACCUGCAGGAGCCCGGCGGUGUGCCAGGCGCCCUGUGACGACGCGAGGUGGUCCCAGCUCUCAAGGAGCCCAGGGCUGGCUCGGGAAAGACAGGUCCUUUGGGUGUUACCAGCAGUAGAAGUCUUGGGAACACACGCAGGGAGAGUUCGACGCCGUGCGUGGGGUUCCAGGAGGAGGGAGGACCGCCCAGCAGGGGUCUCCGAGACCCAGUGCUCCCUUGGGGGCUGGGGGACAGGGUGGGAUGGCAGUGGGGAGGGGCCGGAGCCAGGCGGCGGGGGCCGGCUUCUCCGGGGCUUGUCUGUAGUCUCGAGCUACGUGGCCCCAGUGAUGAGACUUACCAAGGAUGAAGGUGCCCCAUCGAGGAUGUUCUGUUUCUGCGUGAAGUUCACAUUUUGUGCACAGCCUUCCGCGUUAGGUACAGCUGACACCUCCUAGAGAAAAGUCUGAUUUCCCAGAGGUCACCUGGAUUGUCCUUUCAGUGUCAGAUUCGCUUCCUGCUGAAUCAAGACUUCCAGCAUGGGAGACCAAGAGGUGACAGGGACAGGGUCCUUUACAGGGGCAGCAGGAGCCCUCGCAAUGGACUAGAAAGGCGAAUUGCCUUUCGCCAGAGGCCAACGGGGGACCAGUCCUGUGGGUGACCGCUUUCCCCGGGCCGUCACCCAGGAAGACUGCACCUGCCGGCCCUGGUUCUGGCUGGCUGGGUAACUCGGUCUGGCGGGUCCGUGCUGUAUCUCUGGGCUCCGUUUUGGGGGUUCAGAAGCGGGGGCGGGGGAAGGGCAGAGGGACGCGAGCUACCCCUACCUGUUUGGAGCCAGCUGCUCUGCUUCGGCUGAGAGGACUCAGGUGACAGCAAUUGCUGAGGGUUGCUUUCUGCAGGUUUCCUGUUUUUCCCCCAGAAUGUGGCAGAACCUUCAGCUCUGAAGCUGUGGAUGCCAGCAGCGCUGGAAGCCCUGGUUGGGCUGCUGUGACUCCAGGCCUCUGUUUCCCAGGCUGAGAAAGCUGCCUGUCUAUACACUGCUUUCUGGGCUCAGCUGGAUACGUUUUCUUUUCUUUCUCUCUUUCUUUUUUUUUCUUUAAAGAGCAACCAGUUAGUGAUUAGUUGUUCAAUUCAACUGUUUUUUUUUUUUUUUUUUUUUUUUUUGCUGUCUCUUAAAAAAUUUUUUUUAAAAUGUGGUAGAAUUUUUAUUUUUUUCUGGGCAAAUUCUCAGGAUUUAAUUGCACUUAAAAAUCGCGGAGCCUGUCAGAGCAAAUUGCAGAUAGAAUAGUUUUACCCAAUAAAACUAGUCCUGUGAUUGUCACCAUUGUCAGGCAUCUCAGAUAAAGUUGUGGGAAGGACAAUUUAAGUCUUCACGGUGAACCACACUUCAAAUCAGUAUUCAGCACAGGGCUCAUCAUGCUGAAAGACAGACACGCAGGGCAGCGCGAUGUUGGAGAAAUCAGACAUUGAUUUGAAAAUGAUUCCAAAUUCUGCCCACCUAAAGAAAAGGAGGAAUGUCUAUCCCAACGGUUUUCAGUUAAAGCAGUGCAAUUUAAUCUGUAAAAAGUUUUUGAAAAGAGAAAGCUGUUUUACAGCACAUUAAAAAAAAGAGUAAAGCAUAAGCGAGAUGACGAGCUUCCUGCGAAGUCGCACCUGCUCUUUGGCUCAGGCAAGUCCCUGCUCAUUCCCGGGAGUAAACGGGACUGCUGGGUGGCCUGAGUAGCUCUAGGCUUUUCUUUGGCUCUGAGAAAAGGAACCACCCUUGGGGUAUGAGGAGCUCAAGUAUUUUUUUUUUUUUUAACCCCCUAAGAAACACCGUCAUCUUUCCUUCCUCCAUUUUUUUUUUUUUUUUUUUUUUUUUUUUGUCUUUUUGCCAUUUUCUUGGGCCACUCCCUCAGCAUAUGGAGGUUCCCAGGCUAGGGGUCAAAUCGGAGCUGUAGCCACCAGCCUACGCCAGAGCCACAGCAACGCAGGAUCCGAGCCGCGUCUGCAACCUACACCACAGCUCACGGCAACGCCGGAUCGUUAACCCACUGAGCAAGGGCAGGGACCGAACCCGCAACCUCAUGGUUCCUAGUCGGAUUCGUUAACCACUGCGCCACGACGGGAACUCCUCCUCCAUUUUUGAUAAGGGAACUUCCAGGGCAGAAUCGAUGUAGCUUCCUGAAAAGCAGAACUUUCUAGAAUAUGCAGCGUAUCUGUAGGACCCAACUUGGAUUUUUGGGGACAGGAGGGGACCCUGAACUUUUUAUUUUUCCUCCCAGAGUCCAGUGCUUGUGUCCACCAAUGGCAAAAUACAACCAAACCAUGCCCAACUCCACCAGGGGUGGAAAGCCGUUCCUCUUUUGUCUGAAGUCAUUUUGAACUUAACUGUAUUAUGUCUGUCGAUUGCUAACGCUUACUGUAUAUUUGUCUUUUAUGUAGUUCCCUAAAGAUCAGGACGGAUGGGGAAAAGCGCCCUUCUUAGGUGAAAGCAUCAGCUCGUUUCUACGUGUCAGCACUGGGAGAAGAUGUGGGGUCAGUGUCUUCACCAGGGAGCUGGUGCGAGGAUCAGCCCGUGAGAUGACAGACUCGGCGCCCUGCCAGAUGCUGUAAAGCGUGGAACUGUGUCAUCGAUGGUUAAGGAGAAAACAGGGUUUUGCAAAGGCACAACUAGAAGGAUGAAGGUGGCUGAAUAUUUGUCUUCUGAGUGAUACGGACUUUCCUUGAAGAAUGGCGCAUUUACGAGUGUCAGCCUGCCACCCGUUACUGCGAUUAGGUUCUUCAGCAACCGAGGAGGAAUGAGGAGGACUCAGACGGAUUUCGAAGAAUGGCAUGACUAAUGUACAAACAAGAGUGAAAGGGAGUGUUGGAAAAACUCAGGGACACUGAAGACUGAAGUGGGUUGAAAACAAAUCAGAACGUGAGUUCUCCCACUUGAGUGCGAGCAGAAUUUGUUUUUCAGAAGUAAUUUUUAAGGAUUCACUUGGAGAAGGAAGAGGGAUUUUCCUUUACGCUUUUGGAUCGGAUGGCUCUGUGUUGCGAACGGUUUUCUCGCGGCCUUCAAGAAUUUGUUUGGUACCCACUUGUUCAAAACCCAAGGGCAAACAGCCAAGUCCCCUUAAAGCUGUCCGCCCGGGACUACGGGAGUCAGUUUGAAACGUCUUCGUUUUAAGAAGGUGGCAGAAUUACAUAAUUAUUCACAGCUCAUAAGAAAUUAAAAUACCUCUUCCAAAUAUGAAGUCGCGAGAUAACACAAACCACAAGUCCUAGACUCUCGGAGGGCGUGUGCCUCGUUUGUGCUCCCACACACAAACCCACAGCCGACCGUCUGCGCUGAGAGCACGUGGCCCCACUGAGAGCACGUGGCCACGCUGACCUCGCUUCCCUCGUGUUCCUCCGCACACAGCAGGGCUCUUGCCCAGGGCCUCCCUUGGCGACGCCGAGGGACCGAAGAUGCCAAAUGCUGGAGAGGCGGGAGGUCACCACAAGGCACCUGGGACCACAGACGCACUCUCUUCCACUCAUGGCCAGGGUGCACGAGGUGAGGAACCACCGAGAAAGUCCUAACACCAGGGCGCAGGGCGAUGGGUGGGGUGGAGGGGCGCUGGAGGAACCGUCACAUGGGCCCCAGCAUAACUUUAAAAAUCCCAGCACCUCAUUUAACCAGAUUCAUUCUGCAAGCUGAUUAUUGCCUUUGGUGGAUACCGUGUCACGCAGUCUCAUUUUAAGGAUCUGCCUUGCAUCUGUCCAGGACGGGGAACCCCAGGGUUCCAAGGCAAAGCAGCUGGGUUCUUGCCUGCAAGGGGCUUAUCUCACUAGCUGGGCGGUCAGAUGCAUGAACCACCAGGAGCUGGGCUGGUACAGUGCCCGGUGGUCAGGAAAGAACGUGCAGGGAGGGCAGGGGCCGGAAGCACCAGGGGUUUGAGCCCUGCAGUGUGCAGCGUGUGUGAGCCGAGACUAGAGGACCUGGGAGAACUUCCUGUUUGGUAAAAGGCACGGAGGGUGUAGGGCUGCAGAGGUGGGGGGACCUGGUGACUUUGGCGGGCUUUGUGUGCUGUCUUGAGGGGUUGGGACUGCCCAGGGGGUCCUGGUGACCAUUGCCAAAGCAAGGUAUGGGUGACAGAAGCCUUGCUGUGUUGGGCAGAGGAGUGAGGGGUAGAUUUUUGAGGAUGGUGGCUGUGACUUCUGCCUCCUGGAGUCACCCGUAGUGCCCACAGUGAGUCCCCAACGAAUUGGAAGUACCUUCUUCUAUGUCCAUAGACUUUCAUGAGCAGUGCUCUGAAAACCAACCUUAUCUUAACUCAGUUUUAGUGGCACAUAAUCUUAACUUGGGAAGUAGGCUUAUGAACUCGACCAAAAAGGAGCAAGGGACCAACCCCAGAGCUAUCCAACCUGCUUUUCCUUCUAUAGGGGAAGGGGCUUCAUAGCAUCAUCCCCCGCCACUGCCCCUCUCCCCGAAAGCAUCUUAGCUUUGAGUUGCAUGUUAACUGCCUAGGACACAAAAUUCGAGCAACAGUUCCCACCACACUCCACCAAAUACCUACCGUCCACCAGAAGCCCACAGUGUGUGGCUGCAGCCCUUCGGGAGCUCAUGGUCUAGAUUGUUUGCUCAAUGUGGCGGAAACUGGACAAGAUUGGAGUUCUGAAGAGAUGAUACUCACAGACGAGGAAUGUCCGUACCAUCCUGUUUGUGUUUGGAAAUUUUUUAAGAGACCAGAGAACUAAGGGGACAGGCCACAAUACAACAGUUAUUCUAAGCACAGGGGACCAGCCUCGGCACUCCCACCUGCGGAAAAUUAACUAGCCACUGCCAGUAACUCCGACAGUGAAGGGGUUAAAAUAACAAAUAAAUGACUU
rnacentral:lncRNA from 1 species